ensembl:lncRNA
GUUUUAUUUUCUUUAAAUCAAGCAGGUUAUAUUUCAUUAGUUUUUACACAAUCUGAUAUUUGGAGCCAUUUGCAAAUAUGCUCAUAAAUUACAUGAUUUGUAAUCCUUAACGAAAAAAAUCAUAAAAGAAUGAGGUGGUUAAUGAUCAAUAUUGGGAUCAACAGUGAUCACCCUACUAAUGUAGGCAUUACAUAUGCAGGCAGAAAAGGAAAAGUUCCCUUUAAGGUCUCAUGUGAAACACCACAGGUCUGAAAUACUCAGGAACACAUGAAAAUGGCACAAAAAUGAAUUUCACUCCAACCUUUUGCUAAAGAGACGUUGACAGGCCCACAGAGCGCCUGGAGCUCACGGGACAACAAUCACAUUCUGCUUCAUGAAGAGGUCAGAUUAUCGUCAGACCAUAGACAUUACAUGUAAGGACACUGAACAUUUGGCCAGAUUACACAUAGAAAUGCAAUCCAAAACAAAAUGGGUAAAGAUAAAGCAUGUUUAUUGAUGCGGAAAACAAAGGUUCAAAUAUCCUCCAAAGCACUUCAAGCCCUCGAAGAAUGAAACUCAAAACGUAGAUGAGGUUAAAGAAGAAACUUCUAAAUGAAAGUGGAGCGACCCAGGGACAAGUCUGGUUUGGGUUCAAGAUUAUGGAUGGUUAACUUUGCGUAACGUGUUUGGACAAGCAAGUUUAGGUUUUAGGUAAGCGACUUCAGGUAUUAGGCAAACGAGUCUAGGCAAGCGUGUUCAGGUAUUAGGCAAGCAACGCGAGUUUAGCCAAGCAAGUUCAGGUUUUAUGCAAGCGAGUUUAGGUUUUAUGCAAGCGAGUUUAGACAAGCGAGUUUAGGCAAGCAAGUUUAGGUAAGAGAGUCAAGUUACUUUAGGCCUCACUUUAUUUGCGGUUAAAUUGCGGCAUUAGGUUUAGAAAGAAGGUUAAGAUCCAGGCUCAGGUUUGCUUCCAGGCUCGUCCCUCUAGCCGCUCCCUAUAAAGAGGAUUCCCAGCUACCGUGUUAAAAUACAACAGCUGGGAUUACAGAUAUGGAGUACAGAAAUAAAUGACAAAGAUUGAUUCAAACAUUCUUCCCCCAAAAUGUGGUGCAACAUAAUGGAGAAAAUAAUUACUUUCUCUCCAUUGAAACCCAGUCAUAUCUUACGAUCUCACGAGGUCCCGCCGCAAGGGGCGGACUUACAAGCUCUAUAGAGUGUGCACUGUGUGUUAAUGUUGGGUGUGGAUUAAUGUGCUGGUGUAGCCAGGGAUCCUCAGGGUUUAUGGGGAGUAGGACACACUGGUGUAGUUCAGUGCUCGUUGGGUCUCUGCACCAUGACACCCAGCUGCCGCACAUCUGGUCUCCC